rnacentral:rRNA from 1 species
GACGUUACCUACAGAAGAAGCACCGGCUAACUCCGUGCCAGCAGCCGCGGUAAUACGGAGGGUGCGAGCGUUAAUCGGAAUUACUGGGCGUAAAGCGCAUGCAGGCGGCCUGUUAAGUCAGAUGUGAAAGCCCCGGGGCUUAAACCUCGGAAUUGCAUUUGAAACUGGCAGGCUAGAGUCUUGUAGAGGGGGUAGAAUUUCAGGUGUAGCGGUGAAAUGCGUAGAGAUCUGAAGGAAUACCAGUGGCGAAGGCGGCCCCCUGGACAAAGACUGACGCUCAGAUGCGAAAGCGUGGGGAGCAAACAGGAUUAGAUUCCCUGGUAG